rnacentral:rRNA from 1 species
GACGGAGGAUGCAAGCGUUAUCCGGAAUUAUUGGGCGUAAGGCGUCCGCAGGUGGCUGUUCGAGUCUGCUGUCAAAGCGCAGAGCUUAACUCUGUACAGGCGGUGGAAACUGAAGAGCUAGAGUAUGGUAGGGGUAGAGGGAAUUCCCGGUGUAGCGGUGAAAUGCGUAGAUAUCGGGAAGAACACCAGUGGCGAAAGCGCUCUACUGGGCCAUAACUGACACUGAGGGACGAAAGCUAGGGGAGCGAAAGGG